CAUGACUAAUCCAAAUUUUCAUGUGGAACAAUUCAUUUCCAAAAAGAUCUUUGAGCAGCUUUAAGAUAUGGAAGGUAGAUCCUCCUGACCCCAAGGCAGAUCCAGGGCAAUCAGCAAUCACCAAAUAUUUUGUUCCUCUUGCAGAGAUAACUAGGCAAUCCCAAAACUCAGCCUUUUCCUCUGAAAAAGCUUUUAUUGAAGUUCUGCGCUAAGCGAACCAUAUAUUUCUGUAUCUGCUCCAUUCUUGCGACUGUUACAUCCUACAGGUAAACCUAGGCUAAGUGGCUUUGCCACGUAAACAAUCUAAAUAUUCAAAUUCAUAUUUCAAGUAGAGCAAAUAUGCUGUUGACAAUCUAUUCAAAACAAGAGCGAUGGCAGAGACCUCUGGAGACCAUCUAGCGCAGGGAAAGGCUCCUAUGGAUAGCGUCAAUGACGAAAAACGAAUUUGAUUGCCUAACGAGGUGGAAAAAUUACUACUGCAAUCAGACCAACAAAUGAUCCCCCAAACUGACCACUGCUAUAUACUCAUUCAUCUUUACAUUGUUACG